AAGGAUCAUUAACUAUAUAAAGGCCGUGGGGCAAGUUCUCCGAAAGGACAGCUAAGUGGAUGUCCGGUUCCACUAGCUGGGGCGCGAUGGUCCCUGUGUUUCACAGGACGCCUACCGCUGAUCGAGCUUGCUUUCUAUCCUACCCUUGCUUUUUGCGCACCCAUUGUUUCCUCGGCAGGCUUGCCUGCCAGUAGGACCCUCUUAAACCCUUUGUAAUUGCAAUCAGCGUCAGAAACAACGUAAUCGUUACAACUUUCAACAACGGAUCUCUUGGUUCUG
rnacentral:misc_RNA from 1 species